rnacentral:rRNA from 1 species
UACAGAGGGGGCAAGCGUUAUUCGGAAUUACUGGGCGUAAAGGGCGCGUAGGCGGUGUGUCAAGUCAGGCGUGAAAGCCCCGGGCUCAACCUGGGAACAGCGCUUGAGACUGGCACGCUCGAGUUCGGGAGAGGAUGGUGGAAUUCCCAGUGUAGAGGUGAAAUUCGUAGAUAUUGGGAAGAACACCGAUGGCGAAGGCAGCCAUCUGGACCGACACUGACGCUGAGGCGCGAAAGCGUGGGGAGCAAACAGG